GCCUGGUUAGAGAAUAGUGCAUUAUCUCAAUUGACUAUUCACAGUCAGUUACAAAUUGAAUUUCUUGAUCUAUUCUUUCCCCCAUUUUCAUUACAGCAAUUGACUAGUCAACU
rnacentral:Y_RNA from 1 species